rfam:Camelus ferus unplaced genomic scaffold scaffold1960, whole genome shotgun sequence.
GAGGGCAUAGCUCAAGUGGUAGAGCGCAUGCUUAGCACACAUAAGGUCCUGGGUUCAAUCCCUAGUACUCCUCU